AUUGAACGCUGGCGGCAUGCUAUACACAUGCAAGUCGAACGAGUGGCGAACGGGUGAGUAAUAUAUCGGAACGUACCGAGUAAUGGGGGAUAACCCAUCGAAAGAUUGGCUAAUACCGCAUAUUAUUCGAGCGGCCGAUAACGGAUUAGCUAUUUGGUGGGGUAAAGGCCUACCAAGGCGACGCUCAGUAGCGGGUCUGAGAGGAAGAUACGCCAAACUGGGACUGAGACACGUCCCAGAGUCGUACGGGAGGCAGCAUUAGUGAAUUUUGGACAAUGGAGGCAACCCUGAUCCAGCCAUGCAGCGUGUAUGAAGAAGGCCUUGGGGUUGUAAAGUACUUUUGUUAGGGAAGCGGUACCUAAAGAAUAAGCACCGGCUAACUAAGUGCCAGCAGCCGCGGUAAUAC
rnacentral:rRNA from 1 species